UACAGAGGGUGCGAGCGUUAAUCGGAAUUACUGGGCGUAAAGCGCGCGUAGGCGGCUUUGCAAGUCGGGUGUGAAAUCCCCAGGCUUAACCUGGGAACUGCAUUCGAGACUGCAUUGCUAGAGUAUGGGAGAGGGGAAGUGGGAAUUUCGAAGGUUGAGUGAGCGGUGAAAUGCGUAGAUAUCUGAAGGAACAUCAGUGGCGAAAGCGACUUCCUGGACCAAUACUGACGCUCAUGUGCGAAAGCGUGGGGAGCAAACAGG
rnacentral:rRNA from 1 species